rnacentral:rRNA from 1 species
UACGUAGGGUGCGAGCGUUAAUCGGAAUUACUGGGCGUAAAGCGUGCGCAGGCGGUUUUGUAAGCCAGAUGUGAAAUCCCCGGGCUCAACCUGGGAAUGGCAUUUGGGACUGCAAGGCUGGAGUGCGGCAGAGGAGACUGGAAUUCCUGGUGUAGCAGUGAAAUGCGUAGAUAUGAGGAGGAAUACCGAUGGCGAAGGCAGGUCUCUGGGCUGACACUGACGCUCAUGCACGAAAGCGUGGGGAGCAAACAGG